GACGAACGCUGGCGGCGUGCUUAACACAUGCAAGUCGAACGGAAAGGCCCUGCUUGCAGGGUCCUCGAGUGGCGAACGGGUGAGUAACACGUGGGUGAUCUGCCCUGCACUUCGGGAUAAGCCUGGGAAACUGGGUCUAAUACCGGAUAGGAGCCAUUUUUAGUGUGAUGGUUGGAAAGUUUUUUCGGUGUAGGAUGAGCUCGCGGCCUAUCAGCUUGUUGGUGGGGUAAUGGCCUACCAAGGCGGCGACGGGUAGCCGGCCUGAGAGGGUGGACGGCCACAUUGGGACUGAGAUACGGCCCAGACUCCGACGGGAGGCAGCAGUGGGGAAGAUUGCACAAUGGGCGCAAGCCUGAUGCAGCGACGCCGCGUGGGGGAUGACGGCCUUCGGGUUGGAAACUCCUUUCGCUAGGGACGAAGCUUUUUGUGACGGUACCUAGAUAAGAAGCACCGGCUAACUACGUG
rnacentral:rRNA from 1 species